GGCAAGCCUAACACAUGCAAGUCGAACGGUAACUUUUGGUGCUUGCACCGAAAGACGAGUGGCGAACGGGUGCGUAACGCGUAUGCAAUCUACCUUUUACUAGGGUAUAGCCCGAAGAAAUUUGGAUUAAUCCCCUAUAAUAUCAUGAAUUCGCAUGAUUUUAUGAUUAAAGCUUCGGCGGUAAAAGAUGAGCAUGCGUCCUAUUAGUUAGUAGGUGAGGUAACGGCUCACCUAGACUACGAUAGGUAGGGGUCCUGAGAGGGAGAUCCCCCACACUGGUACUGAGACACGGACCAGACUCCUACGGGAGGCAGCAGUGAGGAAUAUUGGACAAUGGACGAAAGUCUGAUCCAGCUAUGCCGCGUGCAGGAUGACGGCCCUAUGGGUUGUAAAC
rnacentral:rRNA from 1 species